rnacentral:rRNA from 1 species
AGGGAAACCGAGUCUUAACCGGGCGUUAAGUUGCAGGGUAUAGACCCGAAACCCGGUGAUCUAGCCAUGGGCAGGUUGAAGGUUGGGUAACACUAACUGGAGGACCGAACCGACUAAUGUUGAAAAAUUAGCGGAUGACCUGUGGCUGGGGGUGAAAGGCCAAUCAAACCGGGAGAUAGCUGGUUCUCCCCGAAAGCUAUUUAGGUAGCGCCUCGUGAAUUCAUCUCCGGGGGUAGAGCACUGUUUCGGCUAGGGGGCCAUCCCGGCUUACCAACCCGAUGCAAACUGCGAAUACCGGAGAAUGUUAUCACGGGAGACACACGGCGGGUGCUAACGUCCGUCGUGAAGAGGGAAACAACCCAGACCGCCAGCUAAGGUCCCAAAGUCAUGGUUAAGUGGGAAACGAUGUGGGAAGGCCCAGACAGCCAGGAUGUUGGCUUAGAAGCAGCCAUCAUUUAAAGAAAGCGUAAUAGCUCACUGGUCGAGUCGGCCUGCGCGGAAGAUGUAACGGGGCUAAACCAUGCACCGAAGCUGCGGCAGCGACGCUGAUGCGUUGUUGGGUAGGGGAGCGUUCUGUAAGCCUGUGAAGGUGUGUCGUGAGGCAUGCUGGAGGUAUCAGAAGUGCGAAUGCUGACAUAAGUAACGAUAAAGCGGGUGAAAAGCCCGCUCGCCGGAAGACCAAGGGUUCCUGUCCAACGUUAAUCGGGGCAGGGUGAGUCGACCCCUAAGGCGAGGCCGAAAGGCGUAGUCGAUGGGAAACGGGUUAAUAUUCCCGUACUUGGUGUUACUGCGAAGGGGGGACGGAGAAGGCUAUGUUGGCCGGGCGACGGUUGUCCCGGUUUAAGCGUGUAGGCUGGUUUUCCAGGCAAAUCCGGAAAAUCAAGGCUGAGGCGUGACGACGAGGCACUACGGUGCUGAAGCAACAAAUGCCCUGCUUCCAGGAAAAGCCUCUAAGCAUCAGGUAACAUCAAAUCGUACCCCAAACCGACACAGGUGGUCAGGUAGAGAAUACCAAGGCGCUUGAGAGAACUCGGGUGAAGGAACUAGGCAAAAUGGUGCCGUAACUUCGGGAGAAGGCACGCUGACACGUAGGUGAAGUGAUUUACUCAUGGAGCUGAAGUCAGUCGAAGAUACCAGCUGGCUGCAACUGUUUAUUAAAAACACAGCACUGUGCAAACACGAAAGUGGACGUAUACGGUGUGACGCCUGCCCGGUGCCGGAAGGUUAAUUGAUGGGGUCAGCGCAAGCGAAGCUCCUGAUCGAAGCCCCGGUAAACGGCGGCCGUAACUAUAACGGUCCUAAGGUAGCGAAAUUCCUUGUCGGGUAAGUUCCGACCUGCACGAAUGGCGUAAUGAUGGCCAGGCUGUCUCCACCCGAGACUCAGUGAAAUUGAACUCGCUGUGAAGAUGCAGUGUACCCGCGGCAAGACGGAAAGACCCCGUGAACCUUUACUAUAGCUUGACACUGAACAUUGAGCCUUGAUGUGUAGGAUAGGUGGGAGGCUUUGAAGUGUGGACGCCAGUCUGCAUGGAGCCGACCUUGAAAUACCACCCUUUAAUGUUUGAUGUUCUAACGUGGACCCGUUACCCGGGUUGCGGACAGUGUCUGGUGGGUAGUUUGACUGGGGCGGUCUCCUCCUAAAGAGUAACGGAGGAGCACGAAGGUUGGCUAAUCCUGGUCGGACAUCAGGAGGUUAGUGCAAUGGCAUAAGCCAGCUUGACUGCGAGCGUGACGGCGCGAGCAGGUGCGAAAGCAGGUCAUAGUGAUCCGGUGGUUCUGAAUGGAAGGGCCAUCGCUCAACGGAUAAAAGGUACUCCGGGGAUAACAGGCUGAUACCGCCCAAGAGUUCAUAUCGACGGCGGUGUUUGGCACCUCGAUGUCGGCUCAUCACAUCCUGGGGCUGAAGUAGGUCCCAAGGGUAUGGCUGUUCGCCAUUUAAAGUGGUACGCGAGCUGGGUUUAGAACGUCGUGAGACAGUUCGGUCCCUAUCUGCCGUGGGCGCUGGAGAACUGAGGGGGGCUGCUCCUAGUACGAGAGGACCGGAGUGGACGCAUCACUGGUGUUCGGGUUGUCAUGCCAAUGGCACUGCCCGGUAGCUAAAUGCGGAAGAGAUAAGUGCUGAAAGCAUCUAAGCACGAAACUUGCCCCGA